CCUACGGGGGGCUGCAGUGGGGAAUAUUGCACAAUGGGCGCAAGCCUGAUGCAGCCAUGCCGCGUGUGUGAAGAAGGCCUUCGGGUUGUAAAGCACUUUCAGCGGGGAGGAAGGCGUUAAGGUUAAUAACCUUGGCGAUUGACGUUACCCGCAGAAGAAGCACCGGCUAACUCCGUGCCAGCAGCCGCGGUAAUACGGAGGGUGCAAGCGUUAAUCGGAAUUACUGGGCGUAAAGCGCACGCAGGCGGUCUGUCAAGUCGGAUGUGAAAUCCCCGGGCUCAACCUGGGAACUGCAUUCGAAACUGGCAGGCUAGAGUCUUGUAGGGGGGGGUAAAAUUCCAGGUGUAGCGGUGAAAUGCGUAGAGAUCUGGAGGAAUACCGGUGGCGAAGGCGGCCCCCUGGACAAAGACUGACGCUCAGGUGCGAAAGCGUGGGGAGCAAACAGGAUUAGUACCCUGGUAGUC
rnacentral:rRNA from 1 species